AAUAAAAAUAAAAAUAAAAUAAAAAGGACAAAAAUAAAUAUAGAAAAAUCCCCACAACCAUGGAUUUCUUAUUUCUCCUCCUGAGAAACGUUUCGAUUUGAAGAAUCAAUAGCGUGAGGACGAGGCUCAUUUGUUUGGAUCUGAUUUUUAUUCAAUUGAGAGAUUUUGAAUAUUAGGGAUUUUGAGCUGCAAGGAAGGAUGGAGGAUGAUAAGAAGAAGAAGAGAAACAAGAAAAAGAAAAACAAGCAGAUCAAAAUUACGGAAGAUGAUAUCGCUGUUGACGUGAAUCAGAAUGGUGCGAGUAAUGGAAAGAAUGAUCGUGACCAAGUAACUGACCUCGCUGAGGUGCAAAAUGGUGCUGUGCGAAAUGGUGAUACGGCGGCCAAUAGACAUGAGCACAAUGGAACAGAAAUGCCCAUCUUAGCUGAAGCUGAGAAGCAACAGUGGGUGCAAAGAGAGGCCAUAUUGAAAGAGUCAAUAAAACAAUUACAGAAUGAAAAUGAUACAUAUACGCAGAAAGAGGCUUUCUUAGAAGGGAGAAUCAAACAGUUAAAGAAGGAAAAUGAUUCACAAAUACAGAAACUGGUUACAUUAGAAGAGACGAUCAAGCAAUUGAGAAAUGUACAUGAUUUAGCUUUACAGAAGGAGACUACCUUGGAAGGAACAAUCCAACAGUUGAAAAAUGAAAAUGAUUCACACAUGAAGAAAGAGGCCGGUCUAGAGAAUGAAAUCAUACAACUGCAGAUUGAAAAAGAGUCGAGUCUUCAAAAAGAGGCUGGUCUAGAGAAGAUAAUUGUACAACUGCAGAGUGAAAAAGAGUCUAUUCUUCAAGAAGAGGUAAUUUUGAUUGGAAUUUAAUUUUAUACAAACUGUAUUUUCGUCUUUUCAACACUCUAGGCGUCUUUGACAUCAUCUGUCUUGCAACCAACACCUGAAAGCAGUAUGCUUGUGUGUACAAUCUUAUGACAAUUCAGCUUUUUAGCAUUUGAAACUGGGUGCUCUUUAUGGUUGGUUGCCUGCAGCUUCUUGGAUUAAUUGGUAACUUGAAACCAUAUUAAAUGUAGGCCCACUUGAAGGAGCAACUUCAGCACUUAUUGGAGGAGAAGACUGCUUUGGUUUUAAAAGGGGUAAUAUUUUGUACUUCGUGAUCUUUAGUUGAUCAUAAAAUAGGAAGUGCUUCAGUUGAUUGGCAUUGUACAAGGUAAAUUGCAGUAUUGAGAACUGAACUUUGGAUGAAUUUUAGGUUGAUUACUGAGGAUCAAUUUCUUCUAAUUUAUCAUCUAACUUACAAGAAAUGCAAACAUCCUACUGAAUUAUUUUAUUGGGAGUUCAACAGAAUCCACUGGCAUUUGUUCCUGACAUUUAAAUAAAGACUAGAAGCAAUACUUAAAUCAUUAAUAAUCUCUAGAUAGGCAAAAGGAAAAAAAGAAGUAGCAAUCGAUGUUGGAAACUGCGUAGAUAAUUCACCAUGAUGCUUGCAAUUCUGGCAACAGAGACGAAAUUGUAGACGAAAUAGAAAUUUGGCGAAGAAAUUGUAACAAGUUGAUCUUUAGUGACUUGAAAUUAAGGCCAAGUUUAUUGACAAAUGAUGUAAUUUAAUUGCACUAUGCACUCUACUUCUGCUGUUUGCUUAUGUCUGCAUUAGUAAGGUACAAUGUCAUCUAGAUUUGCAAUGUUAAAUAACUUCUGCGAGAUCCACAGGCAAGCUUGGAGGAAAAAAUUAAACAACUAGAGAGUGAUAAAUAUUCGUGGACCCUAACAGAGGUAAUUACAUUUUGGCUAAGUGUACCAGUGUCACUUCCCCUUCCCUUCUCCUUUUCCAAGAUUAUGUUUGGUUAAUUGUUGAGCUUAUUUGUAGAUGUUGUAUCAUAUGCAUUCAAACAUAGGCUAUUUCACAUUGAUCUAGUACACAUAAGUCUGCAAAUGUGGAUCAUUUUCUUUCAAAUUCUUUGAUGCAUGAUGGAAUUUAGAUUCGUCCAAUAUUAGUGUAGUUUUGAGGUAAAUACUAGAUAGCUAGAUUUUGUCUUUAAAAGAAGUAUAUUAUUUUAUUUUGAAAUGUGGAACAGUGGAAGGGUGUUGCCCAAUAUAUGCAAUGUUAAGUGUGUAUUAGAUAUGAAAGGGAAUCUUAGAUAGAGACGCCUUUUCCCUUCAUUUGGAACUCUGCCACAGGUUAUUUUGUGGCAUCAUCUUCGUUAUUUCCAGUUAAAAUUUUCAUUCACCCUCUUCAUUUAUGUGAAGCUGAUGCAAAAGUAAAAGUUGAAUUCCUAAUUUUGGGAACAUAUUAUUUUCCAGAAUACAACCAAAGAAACAAUUGCUAGAAUGAAUGUUGAUAUCACAAGACUACAGAUGCAGGUACAGCUUUAUUUACCUUUGUUUUUUACAUGACCAUUUCUGUUCAAACUUCUUAUUGAAUUAAUGUUGUUGUCAGUGUUGCCAAUAGUUUUACUACCUUAAGAGUGCUGCAAAUUAUCAAUGGACAGGAAAUGACCAUUCAGUAUAACUUUAUUUUUGUUCUAAUAUGGAAAUUAAAACAAAGCCUGGCAGGUGGUGGAGUUGGAAGAAUCCAGAAAUAUACUUUUGAAAGAAAACCAACAACUGAUGGACAACAUAUCUGGUCAGCGGUUACAGCUUCAGAAUGUGAAGGCGAACGUCACCUCUGCUAACACAUCACAUGAACUGAAAAAGGUUUGUUUCCCAUGCCAAUGUAAAAUUUUUGGCCAUAGGCUAAUCUGUCAAUCUGUUUUGAUUGUGAAAGGAUUUUUGGUGCCAUAUUAUUUGUAUUUUAAAUUUAAUGCUAUUGUUGUUGGAGUUGACAUUUUGAAUUGAAGAACAUAUAUAUAUAUGUAUUCUGAUGCAUUGUGUCUGAUGUAGCAUGAUGAACGUGAGGACUUGAACUCCCAAAUUGGAGCAGCCUGUGCACUGGUUGACAAAUUGAUUACAGAAAAUGCAGAGCUUGUUGAGAAAGUAAUAAACUGUCCCAUUUUGCCUGUCCUAUGGUUAUGUUUUCAAGUUGUAUUUAUUAAUGUCACUGCUUUUAUUAUCCUUUCAAAUUUUGUUGCAAAAAGUAGUUUGAAACUAUUAUUUAGUUGCUUUAGAGGUUUUAUGACUACAGCAUAUCGGUUUUAUGAUCGAGGGAAAAAAAAAAACGUUUCUAAUCAAACAUGUUCAAGAUAAUACUUUAAUAUUUGUUGUACACCUGCAUUGUUUCUCAGGUGAAUGAGUUGUACAUUAAGCUUGACCAACAAAGUAGAGCAUCUGGACAUUCUUCUACCAUUGGCAGCGAUCUCAUGGUUGAAUCUAGGGCAGCUGAUUCCAUACUUGAAUCUAGUGAAAAGAUGUCUGCUUUGGGCCAUAAGAUGGAGUUACUGGAAGUUGAACCUGCUGCUGGAGAUGCAUAUGCUGCAGAAGUUGACUCGGGAGAAAUCGUGCAAAUACCUUUGAAUGAUAAUGAGCUUCGGGAUUUGGAACUGAAGGAGGCUGUUGAGAAUGAUAAGAUGGAGGAAGCUGUGCCGCUUACAGAUGCUCCAAUGAUUGGGGCUCCUUUCCGGUUAAUAUCAUUUGUUGCUAAAUAUGUUAGUGGUGCUGAUUUGGUUGACAAAAGCACUUCAAAUUCUGUGCCUUAGCUUAGCAAGGUUAAAGUUUUUUUGUUUUUUUUAAUUAUCAUUUCAUAUACAAAUUGCUUGUCAUGUGGAGAUUAAAGAUGCAUCUAAUAUUGCUCUUUGUUUUUUUAUUCACAGUAUUUAAGCUACUUAAAGAAAAGAUAAACCAGGAGAGUUUAUAUUGCUAAUUUUAUGUCAUGGACAAUGACAGCGUUGUUUAUACUAUGAAAAAAAAAAAAAAAAAAAA
rnacentral:misc_RNA from 1 species